UACGUAGGGGGCAAGCGUUGUCCGGAAUCAUUGGGCGUAAAGCGCGCGUAGGCGGCCCGGUAAGUCCGUUGUGAAAGUCAAAGGCUCAACCUUUGAACGCCGAUGGAUACUGCCGGGCUAGAGUCCGGAAGAGGCGAGUGGAACUCCUGGUGUAGCGGUGGAAUGCGCAGAUAUCAGGAAGAACACCAACGGCGAAGGCAGCUCGCUAGGACGGUACUGACGCUGAGACGCGAAAGCGUGGGGAGCGAACAGG
rnacentral:rRNA from 1 species